GACGAACGCUGGCGGCGUGCUUAACACAUGCAAGUCGAACGGAAAGGCCCUGCUUUUGUGGGGUGCUCGAGUGGCGAACGGGUGAGUAACACGUGAGUAACCUGCCCUUGACUUUGGGAUAACUUCAGGAAACUGGGGCUAAUACCGGAUAGGAGCUCCUGCUGCAUGGUGGGGGUUGGAAAGUUUCGGCGGUUGGGGAUGGACUCGCGGCUUAUCAGCUUGUUGGUGGGGUAGUGGCUUACCAAGGCUUUGACGGGUAGCCGGCCUGAGAGGGUGACCGGCCACGUUGGGACUGAGAUGCGGCCCAGACUCCUACGGGAGGCAGCAGUGGGGAAUAGUGCACAAUGGGCGGAAGCCUGAUGCAGCAACGCCGCGUGGGGGAUGACGGCCUUCGGGUUGUAAACCGCUUUCGCCUGUGACGAAGCGUGAGUGACGGUAAUGGGUAAAGAAGCACCGGCUAACUACGUG
rnacentral:rRNA from 1 species